AUUGAACACUGGCGGCAGGCUUAACACAUGCAAGUCGAGCGGGGGAAGGUAGCUUGCUACUGAUCUUAGCGGCGGACGGGUGAGUAAUGCUUAGGAAUCUGCCUAUUAGUGGGGGACAACAUUUCGAAAGGAAUGCUAAUACCGCAUACGUCCUACGGGAGAAAGCAGGGGAUCUUCGGACCUUGCGCUAAUAGAUGAGCCUAAGUCGGAUUAGCUAGUUGGUGGGGUAAAGGCCUACCAAGGCGACGAUCUGUAGCGGGUCUGAGAGGAUGAUCGGCCACACUGGGACUGAGACACGGCCCAGACUCCUACGGGAGGCAGCAGUGGGGAAUAUUGGACAAUGGGCGCAAGCCUGAUCCAGCCAUGCCGCGUGUGUGAAGAAGGCCUUAUGGUUGUAAAGCACUUUAAGCGAGGAGGAGGCUACUUUAGUUAAUACCUAGAGAUAGUGGACGUUACUCGCAGAAUAAGCACCGGCUAACUCUGUGCCAGCCGCCGCGGUAA
rnacentral:rRNA from 1 species